rnacentral:rRNA from 1 species
UACAGAGGGUGCAAGCGUUGUUCGGAAUUAUUGGGCGUAAAGGGCGCGUAGGCGGCCUUGUAAGUCGGACGUGAAAGCCCCGGGCUCAACCCGGGAACUGCGUCCGAAACUGGAAGGCUUGAAUCCGGGAGAGGGAUGCGGAAUUCCAGGUGUAGCGGUGAAAUGCGCAGAUAUCGGGAAGGAACACGGUGGGGGAAGGGGGUCUCUGGGCAUGUACCUGACGCUGAGGAGCGAAAGUGUGGGGAGCGAACAGG